AAUUACACGCUUGAUUUUGCAGACAAAAUGAAUCUCCCAGCAGUGCCAGAGCGUCUCGAAGAGCAAAAGGUCUAACCUCUUCUGAUGUUAUCGCAGCAAGAUCAUAAGAUAGUAAAGAAAAAAAGAUCACAAAACAAAGAAACAAAAGCGAGAGAGAAGUUUAGCACAGAAUAUAUGAAGCAACAAGAUCUGUGACUGUAUAAAUGAAUGAAUGAAAUUCAAUAUCGGCAGAGGUAAAAGGCAAUUUCCCAGGCAACUUCUAAAUCAGCCUGCACCAGGAACAAGGUUUGGUAAAGGGCUGAUUGUCUCGUCACCCCAAGUUCUCGGCAUCAUCUCUUCCAAGGAAAUGGUGUUAUGAGUCACAAGUGCCCG